GUUAUGGAACCUGCAUUUGAAAUAAUGAAAAAAGUAAGUAGUCAGUAGUUAUGUGUCAUUUUUUUAAAUCAUAUUUUAUUAACAAAUUCUAUAUUAUACAAUCAUGUACUAAGUUACUCAGUUUAUUUCACUUAUGCACUUUUAACAUUACCAGGCCGUAGAAAAAAGUACGACGUGGAUAGAAGAUAAAAAGGACAACCCGUCUAUCACCUAAGUAGAGCUACGCCAGGAACAUGAGUCAGCGACCAUGGCAAUGUUGGAUGCAUGUUCUAAAAUUAUGACACAGUGUGAUGUAUAAACUCCUACAACAAAGAUUGAUGCCCAUUGACAAACUGGUUCAUACCUUUAACCAGAUCUUGGAGACAAGGGUGAAAAAUAUGAGAAAGCUUGGAUUUGUAGAAGUUGAUGUUACAAAAUUGUUAAAAGAUGUCUACGCACUUGAAAAG